UUUAGUUUGUCAGAUAUGCAGGAGCUGGGAUUAGACCAGCGUGUGGCAGGACUGUCUGACCCUGCUGAUGCUGAUGCAGUUAGCAGCCCUGCUCAGUACAACAGGAUCCACAGGACCAGACAUGGCUGAAAUCCACCAGUCCUACUCCGGAAGAGGAGCACAAGCUCGAUCCGAAGAGCUACUUCAGUCCCCCUGUUAAGAAUCUUCUACCCGAGGGCUCACAGAAGCCAGUUCCCAGUGAUCCCACUGCAGCCCCAGGAUUACUCAGUCUCACCGUUCCCAGUGGCAGAAGUUGCACAGCCCAGCCUUCACAAGUCCGGUGAAUAUCUGUACUGCAAGGAAGGAGGCUAAACUUUGUUAAAUGCAACCUCCUGCAGGUGCUCGCUUCAAUUCGGGGUACCAGCUUGAGGAGGGAAGUUGGCGUAAGUGAAUGCAGUUACUGCUCAGUGCGGAUCCAUCCAGCUGGGAGCCGAGAUCGUGUCAAUACCACUGCUUCUCCACUCGCCCUGUUGUGCAAGAACAGCUGUGUGCCAUAAAGUGUGAAAAUAAAAAAAAAAAACCUGCGGCCUUUGAGAACGGACA